UAUGGCAGUCCAUGAGGGACAAACGGUAAUAUUGCUACUUUUCUUCUAUAUUUUCAAGCGAAGGUCUUUUAAUGGAGUAUGCGAGACAGAGACGUUAGCGUCGCCUACCCGAGUUCUGCUAGGAGCAAACCGAACCUAAUAUGUGGGCGCCUUAAAAGGUACAUUUCACGGCUGCUCUAUUUCACUAUAUAUGUACUACAUGUCAUUUGCGUCAUAAAAAUGUUGAAUUUUCUCACUCCGCGCAUAUAUGAGCGUUUCUGAAUCCCACCAGUAGAAACGGACCAGCUACAUUUCCUGGUUGUAAGCAAACCACAAAGAGGACAGCUCCGUGGAGAUGUAUAGAAUGAUGUGAGACAUAUCAAAAUGCCUGUCUGUUGCCAGCACUUUCAGCAAGAGGACUUCGAAACAGACCCAUAAUCUCAAUUGAUGGGGUUGCCAUGUCAAACUUUGAAAAGUGAUGCUAUUCCAUCGAUGUUCUUCUUCACUUCAAAGAGGAAGGCAUCAACCAAGAUUAGCGCAGUAUAAAAUAAAUCAAGCUGAGGUUAACGAACUACAUGUGUUUAUCUAAACCAACAUCUAGCUAGCUUUCAUAAUACGCUGGCAAGACAUUCCAAAUAAUAUGAAUGUAAUUAACCAGCGCUAUCUGGUGAUGUGACUUGUAACCUUGCAAGUUAACCUUAGGUUACAUUAGCUCGCUAGCCAACUGCCGCAGAGGAUAAUAUGAUUAACAUUGUGUUCUAUUUAGAGUCCGAUCCCAUCAACACAUGCAGUGGCAUCAACAUCAAGCUCAGUACCCGGAACAUCUAACACCUAAAAUCGCACGGAAAACUGUACCGGAGCGCCAAGUCUAGGACCAACAGGCUCCUUAAACAGCUUCUACCCCCAAGCCAUAAGACUGCUGAACAAUUAAUCAAAUGGCCACCGGAAUAUGUACAUUAGAUACAUUUUUCCGUGACUCAAUGAUGAAGAAAUAAAUAUACUGGAGUUAGGCAUAAACAUAGUCUGUGUCUUGUCACAGCUGGUGUGUUUACAAAUGGGCUACAACUUCUACUGUAGUUCUCUCUGUAUUGUGGAGGCAUAGUUGAUUGAAGGCUUGAAGACUACAUUUGAGAAAAGGCAGUAUCAGUAAGGGGGUGGGUUGAUAUAGUACCUUGUUUGAGUGUCUAUUGACCAUGGCGGCAGACUGACGAGGGCAGACUGACGAGGGCGGCAUUUUCUGAGCUAGACACACCAACAACACAUAAAGCCUCACAUAAUUCUGCCCCAAAACAACAAAAACAGUCUCUCAACCAAUGGUAUAUGGGCUUUUUAGGUGAGCGCUGAUGCCUCCCUGUGAUAAGCAGUGCCCACUUUGUCAAAGGCGCAGUUAGGAGAGGUCGCAGCGGUGCACCACCAACGUUCCGUCAAAAAAACUAACAUAAAUCAUAUAGCAGAUAGGAUGUGGACUUUUUCUGUAGCCUACAGGCUGGAGAUAAAAUGUAAUGAGAUGGACACCUUUAACAUCAUGCAGGUUUCUCCGAUCAAAUAGCCUAACCUAAAUGGCGCUCAAUCAAAAGAAAAUGUGCUGUAAUGUUAACAUAUCCUAAAAAGAGGACAGGUCAAAGUAAAAUGGACAAUCUGGAAUGGACAAUCACAACUGUUGUCCAGGUGUUUUACCUCAUUGUCAUGAUCAGUGGUCUCAAGUUUUAAUCUGUACAUUUUUGACAAGCUGAGCAUAGCGAAAAAGAAAAUACUUCUGCAUUUCCCACUGUGUAAAAACAUUUCAAAUAGGCUUACGAUAACCCCUGAUAAAGUUGGGUAGCUGAUAUUAAGAGCUUAAUUAGGCCAAUUGAUUAUUCACAGGAAUCAGGACCAAUAAAGCCAAUAUUACAGACAGUCGGCCUACCACAUGGAUGGGCAUUCAUAAAAUUACAUUGUGGGCAGACAUGGUAAACUACACCCCAGUAAGCACAAGCCAACGUCUUGGAAGGUAGGCUUACCACAUGGAUGGGCAUUCAUAAACUGUAGGCUCGUAAGCAUGGACCGAUGCCUUUUAGAUGUUUAUUUUUGUUCAGUUCGGACCGGCCUCGAUUUCCACAUCCACUGGUCCGGUCCGGACCAAACAUGAACCAAUCACAGACGUCUAUGUUUGGUUCAAAUUUUGUCUGGUCUGGACCAGCCUUGAUUUGGGCCAAAAAUGUAAUUACAGAACAAAAAAUGUGCCUGAUUUCAACAACUGGAAUUUUAAAAAAAAUAAUUAACUUCUGGAAAAAUAUGUAUUUUAAACAUUUGAAAAAUACUUUUUCACCUUUCAUUCUGAACCUAAAUCGAACAUAACUUCAAUGUCAUUUGGUUACUGGGACUAUUCUAGUUUUGCAGGGGGCUUGCAUUUUUCGGUUUCGCCUUGGGCGGCAGAACAGCAAGGACCAGCCCUGAUUGAUGGGAACAAAGUAGUAAGAUGUUGGCUAAUCACUGACUACUGUGUGUCCUACAGACUAAUCCUUCUGCUGCUGCUAAUGACCUUGACACCAGUUUUAGUAGUACAGAGCCCGUAGACCCAUUUGAUGAAAGCUUUCAACCUAGAAUAAGCUCAACCUCAUCUGAUUUUGAAACAAGCCAGGACAGCCAAAGUCUUCAGGUCAAAGCAGUGGGUGGUGAAGAACAUCGCCAACGCCUGCUAACCAGCUGCCAUUACCCAAAACACAAGAGGUUCAACCAGUUGAAGAACAUUCUGGAACCUGCCUGGAACAUUCUGGAACCUGCCUGGAACAUUCAACCAAAACAACAUCCAUAUUCAGUUAGACUGAUGUAGUAUAAUAUAGAAUGCCUUGUAUGCUCACAACUACAUUGCGGUAUAGAGAUUGCUAGCUGUUGUACAUAAUAUUUUGUGUGUACUGACAAGUGACUAAAUGAUUCCAGCUGCAUCUGAAACCAAUAAAGUGUUGACUUCAACUUCA